GAUUGUUAUUCAGGCGAAAACUUUACGCGGAACGUACGUAAAGUUAGUUUAAUAAUGAUUUAUUACGUUUUUAUUUAAUUAAAUCGAAUUAUUUAAACGAAGUACCAAUAUGUUGAGUUAUGGUGCCCGUGUUCUAUAUUGAAGUGCUCCUACCAAAUAAAAAUCACAAAUAUCGUGCAUAGCAAGUGUUUUGUUAAGUUGCAGUGACAAUAUUUGUGUUUUUACCGUAAAUUAUAAGAAACCUAAAAAAAUGGUGACUUCAAAUGUAAGGAGCGGGCUCCUACUAGGCUUUGGGUCCUUCAUGGUGGUGUCCGGAGCAGUCAUGGUGAUCUUCUGGCCACCACUAUUCACCACACAGUUGCAGAAGAUGAUGACGUUAAGCCCAGAUUCAAUGUCAUUCAGUAUAUGGCGGGAAACCCCGAUUCCUAUGUACUUGGAAAUAUUCUUCUUCAAUAUAAGUAAUGUGGAUGAAAUAGUAGCGGGCACGGCUACGAAGGUUCGAGUCGAAGAGAUGGGCCCAUACGUUUUUGAAGAGUCUCAUGUGAAGGUAAACCUGACAUGGAACGACCACAACAGCACAUUAACCUUCUACAACCAGAGGUUCUGGCACUUCAAACCUGAAAUGUCCAAUGGAUCCAUAUCAGAUAACAUCACCAGUAUCAACCCCAUUGUGGCGACAAUAGCCUACAUGAUGAGACACCAGCGUCUGAUCAUCAAAGUCCCAGUGGACGUGUUCCUCCGGCUGUACCAUCGCAACAUGUUCCUCACAGCCAACGUCUCCUCGUGGCUGUUCGACGGCAUCAGCGAUCCAGUGCUGGAUAUCGCCAAUGAAAUACCUAACCUUCCGCUAGCUAUCCCGUAUGAUAAGUUCGGCUGGUUUUAUGAGCGAAACGGCUCUCUAGAAUUCGACGGCUCGUUUAACUUAAACACGGGUGCAUCCGACUUCUCCAGGCUCGGCAAUGUGGAACAGUGGAAGUUCUCCAACAGAACUGACCACUGGGGAGAAUGUGGAGUCGUCAAGGGAUCUACGGGAGAAUUGUGGGCGCCGGAGUAUGGACAACCCGAGCUCUUUGUGUUCGCUAGUGAUGUUUGCUCGUAUAUAACGUUAAGCAAAGAGCGAGAAGUGUACGUGGAAGGCAUACAAGGAGUGCAGUACUCAGCCAAUGACUCCAUAUUCGACAACGGAUAUAAAUACCCGCAGAUGGCGUGCUACUGCGACAUAGUCCGCGACGACAACUGUGUCCCCGCGGGCGCGCUGAACGUGUCGGACUGCCGCUUCGGGGCCCCGGCCUUCGUGUCGCUGCCGCACUUCCUGCACGCGGACCCCGUGUACGCCAGCAAGAUCGACGGCCUCAAUGCUACUGAGGACAUGAACUUCCGCAUGGCGCUGGAGAUGUUCACGGGCAUGCCGCUGUCAGUCGCCGCGCAGCUGCAGAUCAACCUGCUGGUUAGGCAUAUACCCGGGAUCACCAUAAACAACAUGCUCCCAGACCGCGACACGAUGGUACCAAUGUUUAGGUUCCGGCAGGAGACCGCCACCACGCCCGAGUACGCGGCCCUUGCCAGGCAAGCGUUAAGGUUAAGGUACUGGAUACCUUACGCCAUGUAUGCGCUUACUGUAAUCGGCGUGCUUCUACUAAUAUGGGGAAUAACGUUACUCGUUAGGAAAUUAAUCACAUCACCAGAAACCGAACCUAUACUAUCAGACACAGAGGAACAUGGAGGUACAUAACUUACGUUCAUAAAGUAAGUGAAAACAAGUCAUUUUGUAUACAAUUUGUAUAAAAAAUUUUUUUUACUUUUAUACGGACAUGAAUGUGAGAAAAAGACGAUUUUUUAUGUAUAUAAUUCCGAUUAUAUUUAGUAAAAAUAUCGUUGAGUUUUGAAUAGUGGUUGUCAAAUGUGAAUAGAAUUGUUUAUUGAAGACAUUUUUCGUAUUUUUUUAGUAUGGCAAUACUAAACGUUCUUUAAAACCGUUCUUGCCCAGCAAUUUUGUGUAAGUACAUAUAUUUAUAAUGGAAAAUGACCGUUUAUUGGAUGAAAUCAUUAUAAAUAACUUUAUAAAAAAAAAACAUGUCAGUAGAGCAUAUUUUGUUUAUUUUGAAAAUGGCUAACAAUUUAACAUUUGACAAACAUUUUUAUUCGAUGAGUUAUUGAUAUUAAUUUUGAAGUUGACUUUAAUAAAAACGGGCAUAAUUUCUAAAUAUUAUAUUAUUAUUCUAAUGUUACUAUACCAAUGUUUCUUGUAAAUAAAUCCUAAUGCCUUUAUAAUAUUUAGUUCAAAUACCUUGUUGCUAAGACUAACCAAUGACUGUUGACUUUCAUAAUAAUUUUAAUACCUUUAGUUUUAGUAAAACGAGCUUCCCAAGUAGUUUACUGCCAUAAUUAGUUCCAUUCUGUAUACAGGGUGUAUUUUCGCACUUAAACUCUUAUAUGGCCUAAGAAAAAAACGUUUUAACAGAUAAAAUUAGCUAGACAUUUUUAUUUAUUUUGUCUGAUACUAAACCAGUAAUUCAAUAUUGAUAUUUAGGAGUUCUUAGGCGGUUUUUUUUUUUAUAAUAAAUACUGGCAUUCCUAGAGCAUGCUCAAUUUUUGUUUCAUAAGUGCCUUAAAGCUAUAAGCUAGCUAGUAAAUGUAGUUAAAAUAAAAUAAUAAUUCUUUGUUUAAAUGAUUUUUUUGUCUAUGGCAAUACCGUACCUUCUACAUAUAUGUAUUGUUACUGAUAUUUCAUUAUUGACUGUUGCAACAUUUAUUUUAGUAUACCGUUGACUUUUUACUUUAAUGUAUUAAUUGAACAGUUUUUUAAGACUAUUAUAUAGAGCAGUCAUUACCAAUUUUUUAUUCAUUUAUAAGUGUGGAUGAAAACUGUUGGAACAUAAACAGAUGCGAGAGAAACCGUAGGAGACAGCUAGUCAUGUAUACCUGUUGUUUCAAGAGUUACCAUUUAACUAACAAACUAUUUUCUUCCUGACAAAGAUAAUUUUCCAUAUUUGUACCUACUAAAAGUUUUUUGAACAAAUUAUUUUGUUACAGUUUCUUUAAUAAGUUUUUUUGUAUUAUUACAUAGAUACUGUGUACUUAUUGAUUUUAAAAAGAUAUUCAUGUACAUAGAUUAUAAUAUAUUGAUGUAAAUAUUGACGAGUUGAAUCAAUUUAUAAUUGUGUUUGUUGAAAUAUAUUUAAUACUAUUUUUUAUAA